CUUAGGUGUUGCAGAGACUGGAUAGUGGAUACGUGUUCAUGGUGCAGACAUUCAUGAUGACUGAAAGGUGUGGCCUCUUGACCUCCUAUGAUCAGCUGGGGGCAGGGCAUCCUCGAUGCAUUUGAUUUUAUUCCAGUAAUAGUACCAUGUCUACGACUACUCUCCUGUCUUGUACUACUCUCCUGCAAUCCAAAGACCUAAAACAAAUUCUAUGUAUUUCUUAGGAUUUAACAUGUAGUUUCCCACAGAUUCAUCUAUUUUUUUUCAUCCAGGACCGUUUUGCAUACAUCUCUGAAUUUAGUUACAUCCAGGUACUUUUUU